GUCGCUGGCUCAACGAGCAUGUGCACGUCUUUUGCUGCUUGCUUCAUUCUCUUUUCCACCUGUGCACUCUUUGUAGACACUCGGGAUGGGAGAGAGGUUGGCAUUGAUGGUUGACCUCUCUUGAUAUUGAAAAGUCUGGGUGUUUAUGUAUUUUUUGACAUACACGGUUGAAUGUCUAUAGAAUGAAAUGUAGGCUUUUGUCAGCCUUUAAAUGAUAAAAUACAACUUUCAACAACGGAUCUCUUGGCUCUCGCAUCGAUGAAGAACGCAGCGAAAUGCGAUAAGUAAUGUGAAUUGCAGAAUUCAGUGAAUCAUCGAAUCUUUGAACGCAUCUUGCGCUCCUUGGUAUUCCGAGGAGCAUGCCUGUUUGAGUGUCAUUAAAUAUCUCAAAAAGUUUGUGCUUUUUUGGCAUAAGAUUUUUUGGACAUUGGGAGUUGCCGGCUGCUGAUAAAAGUGGUGGGCUCUUCUGAAAAGCAUUAGUUGAGGAGCUUUGCACUCUAUUGGUGUGAUAGACUAUCUAUGCCAGGAGAUGCUUCAUGAUCCUCUGCCAUCUAACUGUCUUUAUUAGACAACAUGAUAACUUGACCUCAAAUCAGGUAGGACUACCCGCUGAACUUAAGCAUAUCAAUAA
rnacentral:rRNA from 1 species